CAACCCUCGACUUCCCUUUGGGGAAAUCGGCGUUGGGGACCGGCCGUAUACCGCCGGCCCCGAAAUGAAGUGGCGGCCCGUCCGCGGCGACCUCUGCGUAGUAAUCCAACUCGCACCGGAACCCCGACGUGGCCACGCCGUAAAACCCCCGACUUCUGAACG
rnacentral:misc_RNA from 1 species